CGCGUAGGCGAAUUGGUAAGUCAGUGGUGAAAUCCUGCAGCUUAACUGCAGAACUGCCUCUGAUACUGCUAAUCUUGAGUUCGGAAGAGAGAAGCGGAAUUCCAGGUGUAGUAGUGAAAUACGUAGAUAUCUGGAAGAACACCAGUGGCGAAGGCGGCUUCUUGGUCCGUAACUGACGCUGAGGCGCGAAAGCGUGGGGAGCAAACAGGAUUAGAUACCCUGGUAGUCCACGCUGUAAACUAUGAAUACUAGGUGUUGGAUACAUUUGUUUCCAGUGCCGCAGCUAACGCAUUAAGUAUUCCACCUGGGGAGUACGAUCGCAAGGUUGAA
rnacentral:rRNA from 1 species